CCUACGGGAGGCAGCAGUGAGGAAUAUUGGACAAUGGGCGAGAGCCUGAUCCAGCCAUGCCGCGUGCAGGAAGACGGCCCUAUGGGUUGUAAACUGCUUUUGUACGGGAAGAAACACCCCCUCGUGAGGGGGCUUGACGGUACCGUAAGAAUAAGGAUCGGCUAACUCCGUGCCAGCAGCCGCGGUAAUACGGAGGAUCCAAGCGUUAUCCGGAAUCAUUGGGUUUAAAGGGUCCGUAGGUGGACCGUUAAGUCAGAGGUGAAAUCCUGCAGCUCAACUGUAGAAUUGCCUUUGAUACUGGCGGUCUUGAAUCAUUGUGAAGUGGUUAGAAUAUGUAGUGUAGCGGUGAAAUGCAUAGAUAUUACAUAGAAUACCGAUUGCGAAGGCAGAUCACUAACAAUGUAUUGACACUGAUGGACGAAAGCGUGGGGAGCGAACAGGAUUAGAUACCCUGGUAGUCCACGCCGUAAACGGUGGAUACUAGCUGUCCGGCCGCAAGGCUGGGUGGCUAAGCGAAAGUGAUAAGUAUCCCACCUGGGGAGUACGUUCGCAAGAAUGAAACUCAAAGGAAUUGACGG
rnacentral:rRNA from 1 species